UUGAACGCUGGCGGUAUGCUUUACACAUGCAAGUCGAACGGGCUAUGGGGCUUGCUCCAUAGUUAGUGGCGAACGGGUGAGUAAUAUAUCGGAACAUAUCCGGAAGUGGGGGAUAACGUAGCGAAAGUUACGCUAAUACCGCAUACGCCCUGAGGGGGAAAGCAGGGGAUCUUCGGACCUUGUGCGAAUGGAGCGGCCGAUGUCAGAUUAGCUAGUUGGUGGGGUAAAGGCCCACCAAGGCGACGAUCUGUAGCGGGUCUGAGAGGAUGAUCCGCCACACUGGGACUGAGACACGGCCCAGACUCCUACGGGAGGCAGCAGUGGGGAAUUUUGGACAAUGGGCGCAAGCCUGAUCCAGCCAUGCCGCGUGCGGGACGAAGGCCUUCGGGUUGUAAACCGCUUUCAGCCGGAAAGAAAUCGUCAAGGCUAAUAUCCUUGAUGGAUGACGGUACCGGAAGAAGAAGCACCGGCUAACUACGU
rnacentral:rRNA from 1 species